rnacentral:lncRNA from 10 species
UGAGUUUCCACCGGUGCACACAGGUUGUAGAUUUGAGGGUUUUGUUUCUUUGUUUUUUGAUUUAUUUGUUUAUUUUUGAGUUUUUGGCUAUUUCCUUGAAGAUUAUAGAUCUGAUUCCUUAGGGGAUAUAGCAAAAUGAUCAUGGAUGGAAUUUCAGCACUGUCCACCGUUCCGUUUCCCCUGAGUCAUCACCACAAAGAAAGCUUUCUCUGGACUCUCUCUUCUCUUCCCUGUGAGCCUGUGAGCUCUUAGAGAAUUUCUUGAAGGAAAAACAUGAAAGGGAGGCGUUGACUUUCUUUCUGUAACCUGCAGUAUCUUCACACUCUCAUGCUAGCCCACACUUGACUUUAAGGAAUUCUUAAAAUUCCAAGCUGCAGCUUCUUACUAGUUUCUAUGGUGUUCUGUGGCCUCUACGACAGAUUAAGAAAAACACCUGGGAAAAAAUAUCAGCAAUACAGGUUUGUUAAAACUGAACAUGUGGCUGGUCGCGGUGGCUCACGCCUGUAAUCCCAACACUGGGAGGCCGAGGUGGAUGGAUCACGAGGUCAGAAGAUCAAGACCAUCCUGGCUAACACGGUGAAACCCCAUUUCUACUAAAAAUACAAAAAAUUA